rnacentral:rRNA from 1 species
UACGGGCGGAGCAAGCGUUGUUCGGAUUUACUGGGCGUAAAGGGCGCGUAGGCGGCGUGACAAGUCACUUGUGAAAUCUCCGGGCUUAACUCGGAACGGUCAAGUGAUACUGUCGUGCUAGAGUACAGAAGGGGCAACUGGAAUUCUCGGUGUAGCGGUGAAAUGCGUAGAUAUCGAGAGGAACACCUGCGGCGAAGGCGGGUUGCUGGGCUGAUACUGACGCUGAGGCGCGAAAGCCAGGGGAGCGAACGGG